GGCCACAGCCAUAUCACCCUGCAGCCCAAGACCGGUUACUCACUAAAGCUAAGCAGGGCUGAGCCUGGUUAGUACCUGGAUGGGAGACCACUAGGGAACACUAGGUUGCUGUUGGAA
rfam:Danio rerio chromosome 20, GRCz11 reference primary assembly.